AAUUUUUGACAAUGGGGGAAACCCUGAUCCAGCCAUCCCGCGUGUAUGAUGAAGGACUUCGGGUUGUAAAGUACUUUUGGCAGAGAGGAAAAGGUAGCUCCUAAUAAGAGAUACUGCUGACGGUAGCUGCAGUAUACGCACCGGCUAACUACGUUCCAGCAGCCGCGGUAAUACGGAGGGUGCAAGCGUUAAUCGGAAUUACUGGGCGUAAAGCGAGUGUAGGCGGUUCGGAAAGAAAGAAGGGAAAUACCAGGGCUGAACCUUGGAAGUGCAUUUUUAACAGCCGAGCUAGAGUAGGUCAGAGGGGGGUAGAAUUCCACGUGUAGCAGUGAAAUGCGUAGAUAUGUGGAGGAAUACCGAUGGCGAAGGCAGCCCCCUGGGAUAAUACUGACGCUCAGACACGAAAGCGUGGGGAGCAAACA
rnacentral:rRNA from 1 species